rnacentral:lncRNA from 1 species
AGCUUGAGGAAUAAGGAGGUGAAAGAUGCAUUCAGAAGAAAAAUUGAGAGGAAAAAAUUUAUUAUAGUGGUGUGAUCAUCUUGGUCUCCUACAUUUACAUUGUCAUUGCCAUCCUGAGAAUUCGCUCUGCUGACGCGAGACGCAAAGACUUCUCCACUUGCUCUUCACACCUGAUGGCUGUCUCCAUCCUGUAUGGGACACUCUUCUUUAUCUGUCCUGAGAAACAAGGAGGUAAAAGAUUCAUUCAGCAAGAAGUUUGAAAGAAAGAAGUUUCUUAUAGCAAGAGAAGAGGAGAUGAGGAUGAAGAACCAGUAGUGACUUACAGUGCACAUGUGUUGUGAUGAUGAUUAAGUUUCAGUAUACAUCAUGUGAGUGAAAAAUAAAUAAAUAAAAGAAAGAGAAUACCUAAGUUGAGAGAACAUUUUCCCAAAGACAUUGGUAUCUAAAAAGGUCCACAUUUAUAGAUGAAUGUGCCCUGAACAGGAGAGAGGUUCCGCACCCAUUCUGGGAGUGGUGUCAUCAGUAUGGAACACUGCAUCACCAUGAAGGCAUGAGGUGUGAAAGUGUUGGGACACUCUUCUUUUCCUGCUCUUGGACAUCAGAACUCCAGGCUCUCCAGCGUUUGGACUCCAGGAUUUGCACCAGUGGUCCCAGGUUCUCAGUCCUCAAGCCUCAGACUUAGAGUUACAACAUCAGCUUCCCUGUUUUUGAGGCCUUUAGGCUUGGACUGAGCCAUGCUACUGUCAUCCUAAGGUCUCUAGCUUGCAGAUUAUCUGCCUGGGACUUAAACUUCGUAAUCAUGAACCAGUUCCCCUAAUAAAUUCCCUCUUAGGCAUCUAUAUCUCUAUCUGUGUCUACAUCUAUCUAUCUCUGAUAGGUUCUGUCUCUCUGGAGAAUCUAAUAUCUAUAUUAUAUUCACAAAUUUAAAUACGAAUGGCACAACUAUAUUAAGGUUACAUAAGUGAGGCUACAUACUGCAAAAUUCAAAAUAAAAUCAGUAUCCAAAAUUACACAUAAUUUAUAGAAAUUUUUUUGUAUUCUUCUCUAUAAAAUGGGGAUAACAUUAUCUAGGGCAUUGUAUUACUAUCAAAAUUAAAUAAGAUAUUGCAGGAGAGUAUUUAGAAGUGCUGGAUGAUGUUUCUAUUCUUGUUAUUGCUGAUUUUUUUUCUUAUUAUUAUUGAUAUUCAUAUAGUCAUCUUUAUGGAUGUUGGAAAGGCAUGGGACAUCAUCUGCUCCUGAUUAAAACACAAUUUUAUUUACCUAGAAAUAGAGGAAUUCUUCCUAAUCAUAUGUCCCAAGGAGCUACUACUUGUUUAUCAUGAGAACCUUGUACAGUGUCUGGCACAGAGUAGUUAUUCAAUAAAAGUUUGUUGAACCCAACGGAGCAUAACAGGCUUUUGUUUUCUUCAGAUCCAUUUGGAAAGAAAUGUAAGGAAAGAUUAACUAUUAAUGUUGAUUCAUCUUUCUCCGGUUUCUCUGUUAGUAAAGAUUUCCUCAAAAUGACCUUACAUCCUGAGUUUUCAAAACCUAAUUUUAAAUAUUAGUUCAAUUUCCCAACCCAUUAAAUUUUGCUUUUAUAAUGUUUGCUUUCAGUACUCAUGAAAUAUACAUUUUCAUAUUAUUUAUGAAACAUCCUUUUCUCCUUCCUUUUAGUAAUCUUAGGUAAGAAAUUGUGAAGGAAAAGAAAUAACUAAUUCAACUGAGUUACUCCAGUGACAACUUUCUGUAGAACUUUUUUCCUGAGAAAUUAUCAGAUUUGUAUAAGGAUUAUAUUUUUCAAAACUAAAUUUUAAUUAAAAAAUUACUCUAAGUUUAUAUAAAAUAUUUCACUAAGAAAUAUAUUGUAUAUCUUUAACUCUUAAGUCAACUCUUGUUAACAUGCUCUUAGCGAAUACAGAAUACGUUUAAGGGUAAACAGUAUUCCCAGCGAAAUAACACUGUCGUGGUUUCUUCUUAAGUUGUUAAGCAUUGCCACUAGAUGGCAGCAUCAACUUAUCAAUUAAGAUAACAAAAUUGUCUCAGGUUUCCUUUAUUAAUUGAAAGCAUUACUAAGAUGUUAGGCUUGGAAUUUUGGAGGGCCGUGAAGUCCAAAGUUUGUGUGUUAAGGUCUAUGCACAUUUAUUCCACAGGAAAGGACCGGAGCUUUCAUUAGAUCCUCCAAGUUAAUGGCACAUCAAUCUUUAAAAUUGCUGAUAUACUUUCACAUUCGUAUCUUUCGAUUUGUGAAACUAAAAUAUAAAGUGAGAAAAUAAAUUUCCAAUGACACGUAACAGAACUAUGGCAUAUCUUUUCUAGAAACACAUAGUUAAGAGCUUUUGACUCCAUCAUUGAACAUUCUUAAUAGCUCCUUAUAUCACAUAACGAUCAUAAAAAAAGGCAUAUCAUUAGCUGAAAAUACUUUCUAGUCUGUCAUUUGCUACUUUCCAAAUAAAUAAAAGUGAGUAAAAUAUGUAUAUUUUAAAAAUGACUGCUUCUACCUUUUAAUAUCGACCACAGAUUAGAAUGUUUAGAAUGAUUUGUAUUUUACUCUAAUUAUUCAGGAAUUUAAAAAUAUCUAAAAAGUAACUUACUUCCUUUUCAUGGGGUAAUACUUACAUAUUAAUAAUAAUGGUAAUUGUAAAAUGCUACUGUUAAUGGGGGUAUUGGAACACUCUUUAAGAGAAAAUAAUAUUAUAAAACUUUUUAGCAACAGGUGAUGUAAGCCCUUUAAAAAUUAUUUUAUUAAAAAAAACUUUGCAAAGUGGAAAUUAUUCUCAUUCAAGAGAUAAGAAAUCCUGAGGUUCAUAAUAGUGGAGUGACUUUCCUGAAGCUACAUGGGAGGAAAUGGCAGACACAGAUGUCAAAUUAAAUUCUGCUUGGUUCCCAAGCUCUUCUUUCUCUUUAUUGAAAUGUUCACAGCUUUCCUUGGCUAGGGGAGGGAGUUCCCCAACCCCUUUCGCUUCCCAGGUGUGGCGACACCCCACCCUGUUUCUGAUCGCCCUCCCUGGGCUGCACCCACUGUCUAACCAGUCCCAAUGAGAUGAGCCGGGUACCUCAGUUGGAAUUGCAGAAAUCACCCGCCUUCUGCAUUGGUCUCGCUGGGAGUUGCAGACCAGAACUGUUCCUAUUCAUCCGUCUUGCCUGGGAAUCUAGUGCUUCUUAAUUGUCAGCUUGUAUUUAAUAUUGGGGCAACUUAAGGCUGUUUAGAAAGAAUGGGUAUCUGAGUGAAGAUUGUACAUUUUAGGUUUCACGGUAGAGUGACUCACUGGGCCACUUCAUUGAGGAACUCUCAAAGUCAGCAUCCUAGUUCCUCUUUACACUUUCAUUGAGAUCUGUAAUCAAAUACGGGCAAGUUUUUAAAAACCAGAGCUUUCAUGUAAUGAAAGGUAUGUCUUUCUUUAAUCUCAGUAUUUUCACAAUGGACUCUUGAGGUGAUGUGUUUUCAGUGAGUUCAGAUUUACAUAUUGUUUCCGUAACAUUUUCAAAAUAUCUGAUAUCUG